GAUGAACGCUGGCGGCGUGCCUAAUACAUGCAAGUCGAGCGAACGGACGAGAAGCUUGCUUCUCUGAUGUUAGCGGCGGACGGGUGAGUAACACGUGGAUACCCUACCUAUAAGACUGGGAUAACUUCGGGAAACCGGAGCUAAUACCGGAUGAUAUUUUGAACCGCAUGGUUCAAAAGUGAAAGACGGUCUUGCUGUCACUUAUAGAUGGAUCCGCGCUGCAUUAGCUAGUUGGUAAGGUAACGGCUUACCAAGGCAACGAUGCAUAGCCGACCUGAGAGGGUGAUCAGCCACACUGGAACUGAGACACGGUCCAGACUCCUACGGGAGGCAGCAGUAGGGAAUCUUCCGCAAAGGGCGAAAGCCUGACGGAGCAACGCCGCGUGAGUGAUGAAGGUCUUCGGAUCGUAAAACUCUGUUAUUAGGGAAGAACAUAUGUGUAAGUAACUGUGCACAUCUUGACGGUACCUAAUCAGAAAGCCACGGCUAACUACGUG
rnacentral:rRNA from 1 species